rnacentral:rRNA from 1 species
UGCGAUGAAGCCUUUCGGGUUGUAAAGCACUUUUGGCAGGGAAGAAAAGGCUCUGGCUAAUACCUGGAGCUGCUGACGGUACCUGCAGAAUAAGCACCGGCUAACUACGUGCCAGCAGCCGCGGUAAUACGUAGGGUGCAAGCGUUAAUCGGAAUUACUGGGCGUAAAGCGUGCGCAGGCGGUUCGGCAAGAAGGAUGUGAAAUCCCAGGGCUUAACCUUGGAACUGCAUUCUUAACUGCCGGGCUAGAGUAUGUCAGAGGGGGGUAGAAUUCCGCGUGUAGCAGUGAAAUGCGUAGAGAUGCGGAGGAAUACCGAUGGCGAAGGCAGCCCCCUGGGAUAAUACUGACGCUCAUGCACGAAAGCGUGGGGAGCAAACAGGAUUAGAUCCCCUGGUAGUCCACGCCCUAAACGAUGUCAACUAGCUGUNGGGGCUUCGGNCCUUAGUAGCGCAGCUAACGCGUGAAGUUGUCCGCCUGGGGAGUAA